rnacentral:rRNA from 1 species
UGAACGCUAGCUACAGGCUUAACACAUGCAAGUCGAGGGGCAGCAUUUCAGUUUGCUUGCAAACUGGAGAUGGCGACCGGCGCACGGGUGAGUAACACGUAUCCAACCUGCCGAUAACUCGGGGAUAGCCUUUCGAAAGAAAGAUUAAUACCCGAUGGUAUAAUCAGACCGCAUGGUCUUGUUAUUAAAGAAUUUCGGUUAUCGAUGGGGAUGCGUUCCAUUAGGCAGUUGGUGAGGUAGCGGCUCACCAAACCUUCGAUGGAUAGGGGUUCUGAGAGGAAGGUCCCCCACAUUGGAACUGAGACACGGUCCAAACUCCUACGGGAGGCAGCAGUGAGGAAUAUUGGUCAAUGGGCGCAGGCCUGAACCAGCCAAGUAGCGUGAAGGAUGACUGCCCUAUGGGUUGUAAACUUCUUUUAUAUGGGAAUAAAGUUUUCCACGUGUGGAAUUUUGUAUGUACCAUAUGAAUAAGGAUCGGCUAACUCCGUGCCAGCAGCCGCGGUAAUACGGAGGAUCCGAGCGUUAUCCGGAUUUAUUGGGUUUAAAGGGAGCGUAGGUGGACAGUUAAGUCAGUUGUGAAAGUUUGCGGCUCAACCGUAAAAUUGCAGUUGAUACUGGCUGUCUUGAGUACAGUAGAGGUGGGCGGAAUUCGUGGUGUAGCGGUGAAAUGCUUAGAUAUCACGAAGAACUCCGAUUGCGAAGGCAGCUCACUGGACUGCAACUGACACUGAUGCUCGAAAGUGUGGGUAUCAAACAGGAUUAGAUACCCUGGUAGUCCACACAGUAAACGAUGAAUACUCGCUGUUUGCGAUAUACAGUAAGCGGCCAAGCGAAAGCAUUAAGUAUUCCACCUGGGGAGUACGCCGGCAACGGUGAAACUCAAAGGAAUUGACGGGGGCCCGCACAAGCGGAGGAACAUGUGGUUUAAUUCGAUGAUACGCGAGGAACCUUACCCGGGCUUAAAUUGCAUUUGAAUAAUCUGGAAACAGGUUAGCCGCAAGGCAAAUGUGAAGGUGCUGCAUGGUUGUCGUCAGCUCGUGCCGUGAGGUGUCGGCUUAAGUGCCAUAACGAGCGCAACCCUUAUCUUUAGUUACUAACAGGUCAUGCUGAGGACUCUAGAGAGACUGCCGUCGUAAGAUGUGAGGAAGGUGGGGAUGACGUCAAAUCAGCACGGCCCUUACGUCCGGGGCUACACACGUGUUACAAUGGGGGGUACAGAAGGCAGCUACCUGGUGACAGGAUGCUAAUCCCAAAAGCCUCUCUCAGUUCGGAUCGAAGUCUGCAACCCGACUUCGUGAAGCUGGAUUCGCUAGUAAUCGCGCAUCAGCCAUGGCGCGGUGAAUACGUUCCCGGGCCUUGUACACACCGCCCGUCAAGCCAUGAAAGCCGGGGGUACCUAAAGUACGUAACCGCUAGGAGCGUCCUAGGGUAAAACUGC